CCAAGCCACAGAAUGUCCAGCCUCUCCUGGCCCAGGCAGCAGGGGGACUGCAGCCACGUCAGCAAUCGCAGCUCCAGCCUCGCUCUGGGCUCCCUGCCCUGGAGACAGGGCUUGUGAAGAUCGCUGAUCGGAGGACGAUCCUGCGUCCUGAGAGCAUCCAACCCAGAGCCCCGCCUCCUCAGACUCCUCCCCAUCCCGCAGCACAGCCCCAAACACCCCAUCACAGACACCCCCGGAUCCCCAGAUCCCACAGCGUGCAUUCUCCCUCGUGGCAAAGGACACUGGGCCGCCUGCGUUGCCACAGGAACUCACUCCUCCGUGGGCUGAGGGCAUUGGCAGCUGAUGGAGAAGAUCAAAGUGGGUGAGGGGAGCGGCUGGUCUCCUCCCUCACUGCCACCCACUGCCCCCUGCCUCCGCCUGCUGAUGGCCUGGGGUCAGGCGCAGCCCUGUGUGUCUAGGGGAGGAGGCCAGACUGCGGGGUGCUGAGCAGGCUGGGUCUUGUCUCAUCUCAGGACGUUGGUCUGCUUGGCCUGCCCUGGCUGGCAUUUGCAGGGCACUUGCCUGCUGCCCCCUGGACCUCGUGGUACCCAUGAGAGCCAGGUCUCCUUGUCUUCAGCCUGGAUAAGGACACAGAGAGGCUUGGCCUUCUUCACUCGGGGACCAGCCAUCCCUCCCCACCCGGCACCCCGAAUGCUCUGACAGGCUCUGUUAACUCCUUCCUUGACCCUGGAAUGCACCUCCCGUGAGUCUGCCCAGGUGAACCCCUCCCACACUCACCCCAGGCCUAGCACCAGCCACAACUCUUCCCCUGCCCUCCCCUGCUGCCUCCCCUCCCCCUUUCUUCCUUCCUCUGGAGGCCACCCCUCCCCUGCUGCCUCCCUGGGUUUCCCCCUUCUCUUCCCUUGCUGUCCCCCAGCAUCUGCCUUCAAAUCCUUCCCCACCACACCCAGACCCCCCAGGCCAGCUGCUCCAUAGGAUAUGACAACUGUAUUACUUAUUUAUUUAUUUGUUGAGACAGGGUCUCACUCUUGUCACCCAGGCUGGAGUGCAGUGGCACGAUCUGGGCUCACUGCAGUCUUGACCUCCCAAGGCUCAGGUGAUCCUCCCACUUCAGCCUCUCGAGUAGCUGGGACCACAGGCGUGAGCCACCAAACUCAGUUAAUUUUUGUAUUUUUUUGUAGAGAUGGGAUUUUGCCAUGUUGUCCAGGCUGGUCUUGAACUCCUGGGCUCAAGCGCUGUGCCUGCCUCAGCCUCCCAGAGUGCUGGGAUUACAGGUGGGAGCCACAGCGCCUGCCUGGAUAUGGUAUCUUUACUCGGGGCCAGG
rnacentral:lncRNA from 10 species